GUUGACGCUGGCGGCAGGCCUAACACAUGCAAGUCGAGCGGUAGAGAGAAGCUUGCUUCUCUUGAGAGCGGCGGACGGGUGAGUAAUGCCUAGGAAUCUGCCUGGUAGUGGGGGAUAACGUCCGGAAACGGACGCUAAUACCGCAUACGUCCUACGGGAGAAAGCAGGGGACCUUCGGGCCUUGCGCUAUCAGAUGAGCCUAGGUCGGAUUAGCUAGUUGGUGAGGUAAUGGCUCACCAAGGCGACGAUCCGUAACUGGUCUGAGAGGAUGAUCAGUCACACUGGAACUGAGACACGGUCCAGACUCCUACGGGAGGCAGCAGUGGGGAAUAUUGGACAAUGGGCGAAAGCCUGAUCCAGCCAUGCCGCGUGUGUGAAGAAGGUCUUCGGAUUGUAAAGCACUUUAAGUUGGGAGGAAGGGCAGUAAGCUAAUACCUUGCUGUUUUGACGUUACCGACAGAAUAAGCACCGGCUAACUCUGUGCCAGCAGCCGCGGUAAUACAGAGGGUGCAAGCGUUAAUCGGAAUUACUGGGCGUAAAGCGCGCGUAGGUGGUUUGU
rnacentral:rRNA from 1 species